UGGGGGAUAUUGCACAAUGGGCGAAAGCCUGAUGCAGCGACGCCGCGUGGGGGAUGAAGGCUUUCGGGUUGUAAACCUCUUUCGCUAUCGAACAAGGCCCGCUUAGGGUGGGUUGAGGGUAGGUGGAGAAGAAGCGCCGGCUAACUACGUGCCAGCAGCCGCGGUAAUACGUAGGGCGCGAGCGUUGUCCGGAAUUAUUGGGCGUAAAGGGCUUGUAGGCGGAUUGUUGCGCCUGCUGUGAAAACGCGGGGCUUAACUUCGCGCGUGCAGUGGGUACGGGCAGGCUUGAGUGUGGUAGGGGUGACUGGAAUUCCAGGUGUAGCGGUGGAAUGCGCAGAUAUCUGGAGGAACACCGAUGGCGAAGGCAGGUCACUGGGCCAUUACUGACGCUGAGGAGCGAAAGCAUGGGUAGCGAACAGG
rnacentral:rRNA from 1 species